UACGUAGGGGGCAAGCGUUGUCCGGAAUCAUUGGGCGUAAAGCGCGUGUAGGCGGUCCGGUAAGUCCGCUGUGAAAGUCGGGGGCUUAACCCUCGGAUGCCGGUGGAUACUGUCGGGCUUGAGUACGGAAGAGGCGAGUGGAAUUCCCGGUGUAGCGGUGAAAUGCGCAGAUAUCAGGAGGAACACCGAUGGCGAAGGCAGCUCGCUGGGACGGUACUGACGCUGAGACGCGAAAGCGUGGGGAGCAAACAGG
rnacentral:rRNA from 1 species